CUGUGAACACGCAUUAUUGUCAUGUCAAAAAAUUGACGGAGAGUGGCCAGGCAGCAGCUUAGCAUGAAAUGGCUAGGUACUAACCCGUUGUUGACAUUUUGAUGCCAUCUUUACAUUAACAUGACAAAGAGUCAUUUGGAGCUCUGUUGCCGGAUCUUGGUCGACGGAGACGCUCAAUCAAUGUGUCUUUGCCUCUGCACAUCAAGAGCCAUGAGGACAAUAAUUGCAUACACAUUGGCUUGAGGGGUUUUAAAUUGGAAAUAACUCUUUAUCAGAAAACUUUAUUUGAUUUGUUUAUGAAUUAUACCUUCUUCUCAGGAAGUAUUAUAAAAUUAAUGGGAAAAAAUUUUGAAACA